rnacentral:rRNA from 1 species
AGGAAUAUUGGUCAAUGGGCGAGAGCCUGAACCAGCCAAGUAGCGUGCAGGAUGACGGCCCUAUGGGUUGUAAACUGCUUUUAUAAGGGAAUAAAGUUAGUCUCGUGAGACUUUUUGCAUGUACCUUAUGAAUAAGGACCGGCUAAUUCCGUGCCAGCAGCCGCGGUAAUACGGAAGGUCCGGGCGUUAUCCGGAUUUAUUGGGUUUAAAGGGAGCGUAGGCCGGAGAUUAAGCGUGUUGUGAAAUGUAGACGCUCAACGUCUGCACUGCAGCGCGAACUGGUUUCCUUGAGUACGCACAAAGUGGGCGGAAUUCGUGGUGUAGCGGUGAAAUGCUUAGAUAUCACGAAGAACUCCGAUUGCGAAGGCAGCUCACUGGAGCGCAACUGACGCUGAAGCUCGAAAGUGCGGGUAUCGAACAGGAUUAGAUACCCUGGUAGUCCGCACGGUAAACGAUGGAUGCCCGCUGUUGGUCUGAACAGGUCAGCGGCCAAGCGAAAGCAUUAAGCAUCCCACCUGGGGAGUACGCCGGCAACGGUGAAACUCAAAGGAAUUGACGGGGGCCCGCACAAGCGGAGGAACAUGUGGUUUAAUUCGAUGAUACGCGAGGAACCUUACCCGGGCUUGAAUUGCAGAGGAAGGAUUUGGAGACAAUGACGCCCUUCGGGGCCUCUGUGAAGGUGCUGCAUGGUUGUCGUCAGCUCGUGCCGUGAGGUGUCGGCUUAAGUGCCAUAACGAGCGCAACCCCUCUCCUUAGUUGCCAUCAGGUUAAGCUGGGCACUCUGGGGACACUGCCACCGUAAGGUGUGAGGAAGGUGGGGAUGACGUCAAAUCAGCACGGCCCUUACGUCCGGGGCUACACACGUGUUACAAUGGCAGGUACAGAGAGACGGUCCCUUGCAAAAUGGAUCAAAUCCUUAAAGCCUGUCUCAGUUCGGACUGGGGUCUGCAACCCGACCCCACGAAGCUGGAUUCGCUAGUAAUCGCGCAUCAGCCAUGGCGCGGUGAAUACGUUCCCG